CCUGACUGCUAUCGGAUUGAUACUAAGCCAUGCGAGUCAUUGUAGCAAUACAAGGCAGACGGCUCAGUAACGCGUAGUCAAUCUACCCUAUGGACGGGAAUAACCUCGGGAAACUGAGAAUAAUGCCCGAUAGAACAUUAUACCUGGAACGGUUUAUGUUUCAAAUGAUUUAUCGCCGUAGGAUGGGACUGCGGCCUAUCAGUCUGUUGGUGAGGUAAUGGCCCACCAAGACUAUUACAGGUACGGGCUCUGAGAGGAGUAGCCCGGAGAUGGGUACUGAGACACGGACCCAGGCCCUAUGGGGCGCAGCAGGCGAGAAAACUUUGCAAUGUGCGAAAGCACGACAAGGUUAAUCCGAGUGGUUUCUGCUAAAGAAACCUUUUGCUAGUCCUAGAAACACUAGUGAAUAAGGGGUGGGCAAGUUCUGGUGU
rnacentral:rRNA from 1 species